UCCGCACGUGCGGGGAUAGCGGCGCACGUGCGGGACUGUGCGGGACAGCAGCUCAAAAACGUGAUUUUUGGACCAUUUCUUACAUUUUCUUUUCCUGUCUUCUUCUCCACUCCUCCAUGUCCGAAUCCCUAGCCCCCAAAACCUUGAUUUCCUCCACUUUUAUCAACAAUCCACCAUGGUUCUUGCAUCAAGGAAGGAGAACAAGAGAAGAUCAACAUUUUCUACCGUUUGGAUUUCGAAAUUUUGGAGGAAUCUCAUCAAGCUUACUUGAUUCUUGAGGGCACACUUCAGUAGGGACAAGCACUCCGUUGUAGCACUGUAAUCACUUUGGGAGUCCGUCUUAACCCUUGAAGCUCACCCUUCAGUUGUCAGCCUCAGUAUGCCCAGGCUCCCAGACCAAGUCUAUGCAUUUAUGUCAAGUUUUGUUAAGAUUUUGGCUUGCACUUUAAUUAUUUACCUAAGGUUAAAAUGUAUGUAUAUGAUCCCUUUCUAUA